GCCAGACUCCUACGGGAGGCAGCAGUGGGGGAUAUUGCACAAUGGGGAAAACCCUGAUGCAGCGACGCCGCGUGGGUGAAGAAGCGCCUCGGCGCGUAAAGCCCUGUCAGCAGGGAAGAAAAUGACGGUACCUGAAGAAGAAGCCCCGGCUAACUACGUGCCAGCAGCCGCGGUAAUACGUAGGGGGCAAGCGUUAUCCGGAUUUACUGGGUGUAAAGGGGGCGCAGACGGCGAUGCAAGCCAGGAGUGAAAGCCCGGGGCCCAACCCCGGGACUGCUCUUGGAACUGCGUGGCUGGAGUGCAGGAGGGGCAGGCGGAAUUCCUGGUGUAGCGGUGAAAUGCGUAGAUAUCACGCAGAACCCCGAUUGCGAAGGCAGCAUGCCGGCUUCCGACUGACGCUGAAGCACGAAAGCGUGGGGAUCGAACAGGAUUAGAUACCCCUGUA
rnacentral:rRNA from 1 species